UACGUAGGGGGCAAGCGUUGUCCGGAAUUAUUGGGCGUAAAGAGCGCGUAGGCGGUCCGAUAAGUCGGCUGUGAAAGUCAGGGGCUCAACCCUUGAAAGCCGGCCGAUACUGUCGGACUAGAGUCCGGAAGAGGCAAGUGGAAUUCCCGGUGUAGCGGUGAAAUGCGCAGAUAUCGGGAGGAACACCAGUGGCGAAGGCGACUUCCUGGCCUGUUCUUGACGCUGAGGCGCGAAAGCUAGGGGAGCAAACGGG
rnacentral:rRNA from 1 species